rnacentral:rRNA from 1 species
GACGAACGCUGGCGGCGUGCCUAAUACAUGCAAGUCGAACGCAGUGGGGACGGGUGAGUAACACGUUGGUAACCUCCCAUCAGAGGGGAUAACACUUGGAAAAAGGUGCUAAACCGAUACGGUUGGAUGGACCCGCGGUGCAUUAGCUAGUUGGUGGGGUAACGGCUCACCAAGGCCACGAUGCAUAGCCGACCUGAGAGGGUGAUCGGCCACACUGGGACGGAGACACGGCCCAGACUCCUACGGGAGGCAGCAGUAGGGAAUCUUCGGCAAUGGACGAAAGUCUGACCGAGCAACGCCGCGUGAGUGAAGAAGGUUUUCGGAUCGUAAAAUUCUGUUAGUAGAGAAGCGGUAUCUAAACAGAAAGCAACGGCUAACUACGUGCCAGCAGCCGCGGUAAUUC